AUUGAACGCUGGCGGCAUGCCUUACACAUGCAAGUCGAACGGUAACAGGUCUUCGGAUGCUGACGAGUGGCGCACGGGUGGGUAAUACAUCGGAACGUGCCCGAUCGUGGGGGAUAACGGAGCGAAAGCUUUGCUAAUACCGCAUACGAUCUACGGAUGAAAGCAGGGGACCGCAAGGCCUUGCGCGGACGGAGCGGCCGAUGGCAGAUUAGGUAGUUGGUGGGAUAAAAGCUUACCAAGCCGACGAUCUGUAGCUGGUCUGAGAGGAAGACCAGCCACACUGGGACUGAGACACGGCCCAGACUCCUACGGGAGGCAGCAGUGGGGAAUUUUGGACAAUGGGCGAAAGCCUGAUCCAGCCAUGCCGCGUGCAGGAUGAAGGCCUUCGGGUUGUAAACUGCUUUUGUACGGAACGAAAAGACUCUUUCUAAUAAAGAGGGUCCAUGACGGUACCGUAAGAAUAAGCACCGGCUAACUACGUG
rnacentral:rRNA from 1 species